rnacentral:rRNA from 1 species
UGGGGAAUUUUGCACAAUGGGGGAAACCCUGAUGCAGCGACGCCGCGUGAUUUAGAAGGCCUUCAGGUUGUAAAAAUCUUUUCUAUGGGAAGAAAAUGACAGUACCAUAGGAAUAAGGACCGGCUAAUUACGUGCCAGCAGCCGCGGUAAUACGUAAGGUCCGAGCGUUGUCCGGAAUCAUUGGGCGUAAAGGGUACGUAGGCGGGUAAGCAAGUUAGAAGUGAAAUCCUAUAGCUCAACUAUAGUAAGCUUUUAAAAAUGCUCAUCUUUUGGUAUGGAAGGGAAAGUGGAAUUCCUAGUGUAGCGGUGAAAUGCGCAGAUAUUAGGAGGAGUACCGGUGGCGAAGGCGACUUUCUGGCCAUAACCUGACGCUGAGGUACGAAAGCGUGGGUAGCAAACAGG